rnacentral:lncRNA from 1 species
UUCCGUUACAGUUGCAAACAAUAAGACGAUUAUCAUUCUUAUCAAAAUAAAUCCCCCUUGGUGCGUCGAUCCCAUCUGCACUUGUAAGAAUGACCCUGCAUCGUUUACCAUCAGGUGAUACCGCGACGACAUUGUUUGACCAUUCGCCAGCAACAUAUACAUUUCUGUGUUCAUCAACGGUCACUCCAUGUAAUCCUUUGAGUUUUUCAACCUUCAAUUCCCAGAUGAUAGCACCAUUUAAUUCACAGCAAUACAAUAUGUCGCGAUCUGUACAAAAUAACCUAUCAUCACUGACAGUCACGUAGGUAACAUCGCAUGAUGGUAAACGAAAUUU